rnacentral:rRNA from 1 species
GCUUAAUACAUGCAAGUCGAGCGAGAAGCCACCGCUCCGUAAGGAGUGGUGGUGGAAAGCGGCGAACGGGUGAGUAACACGUGGGUAACGUGCCCCGAACCCUGGGAUAACGGCGGGCAACCGCCGCCAAUACCGGCUAGCCCUGCCGCCGCGCAUCAUGCAGCCAGCCAAAGUCCGACGGUUCGGGAUCGGCCCGCGGCGUAUCGGCUUGUUGGUGGGGUAACGGCCUACCAAGGCAGUGACGCGUAGCUGGCGUGAGAGCGCGACCAGCCACACUGGGACUGAGACACGGCCCAGACUCCUACGGGAGGCAGCAGUAGGGAAUCUUGCGCAAUGGGCGAAAGCCUGACGCAGCGACGCCGCGUGAGGGAUGAAGGCCUUCGGGUUGUAAACCUCUUUCAGCGGGGACGAAGCCUCACGGUGACGGUACCCGCAGAAGAAGGUCCGGCCAACUACGUGCCAGCCGCCGCGGUAA